rnacentral:rRNA from 1 species
AUUGAACGCUAGCGGGAUGAUAUACACAUGCAAGUCGAACGAGUGGCGGACGGGUGAGUAAUAUAUCGGAACGUGCCCAUUAGUGGGGGAUAACUCCUCGAAAGAGUUGCUAAUACCGCAUACUAUUGGAUCGGUCGAUAUCGGAUUUGCUAGUUGGUGGGGUAAAGGCUCACCAAGGCAACGAUCCGUAGCUGGUUUGAGAGGACGACCAGCCACACUGGGACUGAGAAACGGCCCAGACUCCUACGGGAGGCAGCAGUGGGGAAGUUGGGACAAUGGGGGAAACCCUGAUCCAGCCAUCCCGCGUGUAUGAGAAGGCCUUCGGGUUGUAAAGUACUUUUGGCAGAGAAGCGGUAUCUGCAGAAUAAGCACCGGCUAACUACGUGCCAGCAGCCGCGGUAAUUC